rnacentral:lncRNA from 1 species
AACUCACAGAGAUUCGCCUUCCUCUGCCUCCAAUGUACUGGGAUUAAAAGGAUUUCUCUAUGUAAGUAGCUAUGGCUGUCCUGGAACUUGUUCUGUUGACCAGACUGUCCCAGAACUCAAGAGAUGUGCCUGCCUCUGGCUCAGAGUGCUGAAAUAAAAGACAGGGCUCUUAUAUUGCAAGCUGGCCUCCCGUCCCUGCCUUCUGCAUCACCCUGCUGGAAAAUAUUUUCUAGCUAUAUAAAAUAAAAGUCUCCAGAUAUUUAUUUAUUUUGUUUUUUUGAGACAGGGUUUUUCUGUAUAGCCCUGGCUGUCCUGGAACUCACUUUGUAGACCAGAUUGACCUCGAACUCAGAAAUCCGCCUGCCUCUGCCUCCCGAGUACUGGGAUUAAAGGCGUGUGCCACCACGCUCGGCUCAGAUAUAUUUUUUUAAAUAAAAAUAUUUCUAACGUUGUAUUUACAAUUGGGAUUUAAAAUCCACCCACCACUAGGUCAGGUUCCAUGCCCACUCCUUUGAUUUAUCUGUUGCCCUCCCUCCACUUAAUACUUAAGAUCAUAACCUGAUAGUUGUUAGAAUGAGCCGAGCAACUGGAGUCCCCCAAGCCACCUUAGCCUUUCCUAACGCUAAGUCUCAUAAUCUUCCUAGUAGGAAUGAAGAUAUUCUAAAGAAGCUCUUGUGCUCCUCUUUUUGAUAAGACUCCAAGAAACUGGAACUUCUCCAGGAAUUACAUGCUGGGUGAAAGAAGGCUGAAGCCUGCCUGGUUCCAGCCAGAGGGACAGCUUUCUCUCACACAUAGAUUUCACACCACCUUGCAGGAGAGGCUAAAGUUGAAACCAUGAUGGAAAAGGUAUCACACCUUGACCGAGGCUGCUUAGUUAUGCACAGCAGUUGAACCAAACGUCAUGUUCGGACUCUGAUGAUGAACUUGGUCGGAGGAUGGGGGGGUCAAUUGCCUCCUUUUGUUCCUUUUC